AGAUUGAACGCUGGCGGCAUGCUUUACACAUGCAAGUCGAACGGUAACAGGCCGCAAGGUGCUGACGAGUGGCGAACGGGUGAGUAAUGCAUCGGAACGUGCCCAGUCGUGGGGGGAUAACGCAGCGAAAGCUGUGCUAAUACCGCAUACGAUCUAUGGAUGAAAGCGGGGGACCGAAAGGCCUCGCGCGAUUGGAGCGGCCGAUGUCAGAUUAGCUAGUUGGUGGGGUAAAGGCCCACCAAGGCGACGAUCUGUAGCUGGUCUGAGAGGACGACAGCCACACUGGAACUGAGACACGGUCCAGACUCCGUACGGGAGGCAGCAGGUGGGAAUUUGGACAGUGGGCGCAGCCUGAGUCCAGCAAUCGGACCGCGUGCGAAGGAAGAAGGCCGUUCGGUUAGUAACUGU
rnacentral:rRNA from 1 species